rnacentral:lncRNA from 1 species
GAAUCAGGUUUUGCCCCAUCCAUAGAAUCCCCUGUUAGCCUUCGCUAUCGUCCCUGCUAUUGAAUGAGGAGUUAGCAGAGGUAUGUGAACAAGCCUAUUAUACCUCACUGGUGCUCUUCGCCAGAUCUUUUUUAAGCAACAAGAAUUAUUUCCUUAUCUUAUGAAAGGGAAAAAAGCUAUGCUUUAGGUAGAAUCUAUUGCCAUUAUCAACAAUGUCCUCCAUCUUUUUCAACAUCUUUCUGGUCUCAUCCCAGGCUAAGAGUACCUUUUCAUGUAAUAGAAGAAUGGGAUCUUAUACUUAUUAAAGUAGAUGGGGUAGGCGGGGCACAUCUCUCUUAGCUACGAUCAUGAUGGAUUAGCGCUCAGGG